rnacentral:rRNA from 1 species
AUGGCCGGCUUCUCGUACACGAGCCACGUUGCAGUUGCACUGGUUUCGGUGCUGCUGCUGAGCCUCGCGCACGGCUCACUGGGGCUGGGGGCCAGGAGGCUCAUGGAGCUGUACAAGCCGGACCCCAGCGAGCUCCUCACGUACCACAACGGCGCCGUGCUGCAGGGCGCCAUCCCGGUCUCCGUGCUCUGGUACGGCCGCUUCACGCCCGCGCAGAAGGCCGUCGUCUCCGACUUCCUCCUCUCGCUCACCACCGCCUCGCCGGCGCCGACCCCGUCCGUCUCUCAGUGGUGGAACACCAUCCACCAGCUCUACCUCUCCAAGGCCAAGGGCGCCAACGCCAAGCGCGCGACGCAGGUGGCGCUCGCCGGGCAGGUCUCCGACGAGCGGUGCUCGCUCGGGAAGAGCCUCAAGCUGCCCCAGCUCGCGGCGCUGGCGGCGAGCGCCAAGCCCCGGAAGGGCGGGAUCGCGCUGGUGCUCACCGCGGAGGACGUGGCCGUGGAGGGCUUCUGCCGGAGCCGGUGCGGCCUGCACGGCUCCGACGCCGCGGCCCGCACCGCGUACGUGUGGGUCGGCAACUCCGCCUCGCAGUGCCCCGGGCAGUGCGCGUGGCCGUUCCACAAGCCGGUGUACGGGCCCCAGGCGCCGGCGCUGGUGCCGCCCAGCGGCGACGUCGGGAUGGACGGCAUGGUGAUGAACGUCGCCAGCAUGGUCGCGGGCGCGGUCACCAACCCGUUCGGGGACGGGUUCUACCAGGGCCCCAGGGAGGCGCCGCUGGAGGCCGCGACGGCGUGCCCGGGGGUCUACGGCAGCGGCGCGUACCCCGGCUACGCCGGGAACCUGGCGGUGGACGCCACGACCGGGGCGAGCUACAAUGCCAACGGGGCCAACGGGAGGAAGUACCUGCUUCCCGCGCUGUUCGACCCUGACACGUCCACCUGUUCGACCUUGGUGUAA